rnacentral:rRNA from 1 species
AGCCAGCAGCCGCGGUAAUACGGAGGGGGCAAGCGUUGUCCGAAUUUAUUGGGCGUAAAGCGCGUGUAGGCGGACCGUCAAGCCUGGGGUGAAAGGUCGGGGCUCAACCCCGUACAGGGCCCUGGGGACUGGCGGUCUGGAGGCAGGCAGAGGAGCGUAGAAUUCCUGGUGUAGCGGUGGAAUGCGUAGAGAUCAGGAAGAAUACCCGUGGCGAAGGCGGCGCUCUGGGCCUGUACUGACGCUGAGACGCGAAAGCGUGGGGAGCGAACGGGAUUAGAUACCCCGGUAGUCCACGCUGUAAACGAUGGAUGCUCGGUGUCGGGGGUAUCGACCCCCUCGGCGCCCAAGGUAACCCGGUAAGCAUCCCGCCUGGGGAGUACGGCCGCAAGGUUGAAACUCAAAGGAAUUGACGGGGGCCCGCACA